GGGUUAUAUUGUUCAGCACGUGUGUUAUUGGUUGUAUUCUCCAAUAUCCCCAUCUUUUAACAUUGCCAGUGAGCAGACGGAUGUAGAAAGAAUAACAGCAGAAGGACUCUCAAUUCAAAGACUUAAACCAGCAGGGAAUUGCCUCCAUUGAAAGUAUUAUUUCCAGAAAUACUAAUGAGCAGCCUACAUCAGCUGAGAAAAGUGAAACUGGAAUUCCUAAAGAUAAAAGCCAGGU